AUUGAACGCUGGCGGCAGGCCUAACACAUGCAAGUCGAACGAGUGGCGGACGGGUGAGUAAUGCUUGGGAAUCUGCCUGAUGGAGGGGGAUAACUACGGGAAACGGUAGCUAAUACCGCAUACCAUCGGAUGUGCCCAAAUGGGAUUAGGUAGUUGGUGGGGUAACGGCUCACCUAGGCGACGAUCCCUAGCUGGUCUGAGAGGAUGACCAGCAAAACUGGGACAGAGACAAGGACCAGACGACUACGGGAGGGAGCAGUGGGGAAUAUUGCGAAAUGGGGGAAAGCCUGAUGAAGCCAUGCCGCGUGAAUGAAGAAGGCCUUCGGGUUGUAAAGUGCUUUCGGCGGAGAGGCGUUACCCACAGAAGAAGCACCGGCUAACUCCGUGCCAGCAGCCGCGGUAAUAC
rnacentral:rRNA from 1 species